rnacentral:rRNA from 1 species
UACGUAGGGUGCAAGCGUUAAUCGGAAUUACUGGGCGUAAAGCGUGCGCAGGCGGUUUUGUAAGUCUGUCGUGAAAUCCUCGGGCUCAACCUGAGAAUUGCGAUGGAGACUGCAAGGCUAGAAUCUGGCAGAGGGGGGUAGAAUUCCACGUGUAGCAGUGAAAUGCGUAGAGAUGUGGAGGAACACCGAUGGCGAAGGCAGCCCCCUGGGCCAAGAUUGACGCUCAUGCACGAAAGCGUGGGGAGCAAACAGG